rnacentral:rRNA from 1 species
UACGUAGGGGGCUAGCGUUGUCCGGAAUCAUUGGGCGUAAAGGGUGCGUAGGCGGCUAUGUAAGUCAGGAGUGAAAGUUUGCGGCUCAACCGUAAAAUUGCUUUUGAUACUGCAUGGCUGGAAUUAGGAUGAGGUCAGCGGAAUGUGGCAUGUAGCGGUGAAAUGCAUAGAUAUGCCAUAGAACACCAAUUGCGAAGGCAGCUGGCUAGACCUGGAUUGACGCUGAGGCACGAAAGCUUGGGGAGCGAACAGG